rnacentral:tRNA from 1 species
GGAGAUGUAGCGCAGUGGUAGAGUGCAUGCUUAGCAAGCACAAGGUCCUGGGUUCAAUCCCCGGUACCUCCG